rnacentral:ncRNA from 1 species
UUUGCUUCUUUUGAAGCAACAGCAGCGCUUAAUACGACGGUAUCUCCAUAUCGAAUCAACACAGCACCGUUUGCUUGUUUAGCGAGUUGCCCUACUUCAACCUGAAGAGGACGUCCACCCCAACUUGUUUUAAAUACUUGCUUUUCUGACAUAAUCUAUCUCCUUCUAUUUUACUUUGGAAAGAUCA